CAAUAACAGGUCUGUGAUGCCCUUAGUUAUCCUAGGUCGCACGCGCCAUACAAUGUGGCGCACAACGAGUUUCCUAGGCCGAUAGGAUUGUCUCUUAGCCAGGAUCUUGAGGGAUCCGCGUGACAUCAUGGGCAUGCAGAUGACUGCUUCGAUCAUGAGUCGUUGCGACGGUGUUGCUGUGAUGUUGUCACAGCUAAGAGACACUGGGCAAUCUGAGAGAGCGCUACGUGACUGGGCUAGACUUUUGUAAUUGUUGGUCUUGAACGAGGAAUGCCUAGUAAUCGUAGGUCAUUAUCCUGCGAUGAUUAUGUCCCUGCCCUUUGUACACACCGCCCGUCGCUCCUGCCGUGGCUCGUGCCGGUGAAGAGGGGGAGGCAGCGUCAACGGAGUAACAUCUGAUUGUACGUGGAACCCCUCUGAACCUUCGCGAGUAGAGGAAGGAGAAGUCGUAACAAGGUUUUCGUAGGUGAACCUGCGAAAGGAUCAUUAU
rnacentral:rRNA from 2 species